rnacentral:lncRNA from 1 species
UACUCUGGAGUUGCUGCCUUGGCCCUGGGAUGGGGUAGGUUAAGAGGACAGAGGGAGGUCAGGGAGCUGGGGGCUGAGUUUCCCUGAGUAGAGGCUGGCACAGGAGAGAAGGCAUCACCCCCACCUCGUCCAGGCCAGAAGAUGUCCAGCUUCUUGAGGCUCUCCUAAGUCUGCCUCUCCUGGGACCAAGAGAAAAUCCCGGUCCUUGACCAAGAAGCUGCUGAUGGGAGCUCCACCCUGGGAGGGGGUGCCGGCACCAUGGGAUUGAGCGCCCGCUACGGACCCCAGUUCACCCUGCAGCACGUGCCCGACUACCGCCAGAAUGUCUACAUCCCAGGCAGCAAUGCCACACUGACCAACGCAGCUGGCAAGCGGGAUGGCAAGGCCCCAGCAGGUGGCAAUGGCAACAAGAAGAAGUCGGGCAAGAAGGAGAAGAAGUAACAUGGAGGCCAGGCCAAGAGCCACAGGGCGGCCUCUCCCCAACCAGCCCAGCUUCUCCUUACCUGCACCCAGGCCUCAGAGUUUCAGGGCUAACCCCCAGAAUACUGGUAGGGGCCAAGGCCAUGCUCCCCUUGGGAAACAGAAACAAGUGCCCAGUCAGCACCUACCCCUUCCCCCCCAGGGGGUUGAAUAUGCAAAAGCAGUUCCGCUGGGAACCCCCAUCCAAUCAACUGCUGUACCCAUGGGGGUAGUGGGGUUACUGUAGACACCAAGAACCAUUUGCCACACCCCGUUUAGUUACAGCUGAACUCCUCCAUCUUCCAAAUCAAUCAGGCCCAUCCAUCCCAUGCCUCC